rnacentral:rRNA from 2 species
GCGGCGGACGGGUGAGUAACACGUGGGCAACCUGCCUGUAAGACUGGGAUAACUCCGGGAAACCGGGGCUAAUACCGGAUAAUUCAUUCCCUCACAUGAGGGAAUGCUGAAAGACGGUCUUCCGGCUGUCACUUACAGAUGGGCCCGCGGCGCAUUAGCUAGUUGGUGAGGUAACGGCUCACCAAGGCCACGAUGCGUAGCCGACCUGAGAGGGUGAUCGGCCACACUGGGACUGAGACACGGCCCAGACUCCUACGGGAGGCAGCAGUAGGGAAUCUUCCGCAAUGGACGAAAGUCUGACGGAGCAACGCCGCGUGAGCGAAGAAGGCCUUCGGGUCGUAAAGCUCUGUUGUCAGGGAAGAACAAGUACCGGAGUAACUGCCGGUACCUUGACGGUACCUGACCAGAAAGCCACGGCUAACUACGUGCCAGCAGCC